rnacentral:rRNA from 1 species
AACGAACGCUGGCGGCAUGCCUAACACAUGCAAGUCGAACGAGACCUUCGGGUCUAGUGGCGCACGGGUGCGUAACGCGUGGGAACCUGCCCUUAGGUUCGGAAUAACUCCCCGAAAGGGGUGCUAAUACCGGAUAAUGUCUUCGGACCAAAGAUUUAUCGCCUUUGGAUGGGCCCGCGUUGGAUUAGCUAGUUGAUAGGGUAAAAGCCUACCAAGGCGACGAUCCAUAGCUGGUCUGAGAGGAUGAUCAGCCACACUGGGACUGAGACACGGCCCAGACUCCUACGGGAGGCAGCAGUGGGGAAUAUUGGACAAUGGGCGAAAGCCUGAUCCAGCAAUGCCGCGUGAGUGAUGAAGGCCUUAGGGUUGUAAAGCUCUUUUACCCGGGAUGAUAAUGACAGUACCGGGAGAAUAAGCUCCGGCGAACUCCGU